UUAACAAAAACAUGUCUAUAUGAAGGUGUAUAUAGUUUGGCCUGCUCACUGAUUAAAUUAAAGAGCCGCAGUAUUUUGACUGUGCGAAGGUAGCAUAAUAAAUUGUCUUUUAAAUAAAGGCUUGAAUGAAAGGUUGGACAAAGUAUCAUCUGUUUCUUAAAUAUUUAUUGAAUUUGACUUUUAAGUGAAAAGGCUUAAAUAAAUCAAAAAGACGAUAAGACCCUAUAAAUCUUUACAAGAAAUAUAUUUUAUGUUUUAGCUUAUAAGUAAUAUAAGAAAUAAAAAUAUAAGUUUGUUGCGCUGGGGCGGCGUAGAUAUAUAAAUAAACUGUCUAUGAUUUAAAUACAGUAAUUAUUGCUUAAUACAAAUUGAUCCUUAAAUAGAUUAAAAGAUUAAGAUACUUUAGGGAUAACAGCGUUAUUUUUUUUGAGAGUUCUUAUCGAAGAAAAAGUUUGCGACCUCGAUGUUGAAUUAAAGUUUCUUUGUGGUGUAGCCGCUAUAAGAGAGAGUCUGUUCGACUUUUAAUACUUUACAUGAUUUGAGUUCAGACCGGCGUGAGCCAGGUUGGUUUCUAUCUUUUGUUGAAUAUAAGAUUAUUUUAGUACGAAAGGAUUAAAUAAUUAAAAUAUUUUUAUAAUUUAGAAUAUUAAUAUCCU
rnacentral:rRNA from 1 species